AAAAAAAACAGAGAGAAACGAUGUGCACACGUACCGUCCUGCGUCAUGAGCGGGUAGUCGGAGGCGGAGAGGUUGAUAAACCAGUCCCAGGCUCCGCCGCGGCGGAGGAGGACGGCGCAGGCGUGCAGCGUGUUGGACACCAUGGUGGGGCCGCGGUAGGUGACCAUGUUGGCGCGGCGGAUGACGUGGACGUUGCCGGCGCGGCGGAAGACGGUGGCGUUGGCGACGCGGGCCGCCAGCUCCAGGCGCUCCGCCACGGGGGCCUCGCGGUCCAGGUGCACCACGUACUGGUUGCGCGGGUGGUACAGCGCGUGCAGCGCGCGCCACAGGCGGUCCAGGUCGCCCUUGGAGCCGGAGAUGAGGUAGGCCAGCCGCGGCACGCCGGCGCCGGGGGGAGGAGGCGGCGACUGGGACUGGGAGUGGUUGGCGGCGGCGGCGCGGCUGGCGGGGACGGGGACGGGGAGGGAGGAGAAGAAGGACGACGGGGAGACGAUGUAGGGCGACGAGGAGGAGGAGAAGGACGUGACGGCGAGCGCGACGGCCAGGAACAGCAGCAGGCUCAGCGCGGCCGACAGCGCCCAGCGGCUGUCCACCAGCCAGGCCGCCGCGCUGCUCGGGAGCUUCGCCGCUCCGCCGCCGCCGCCCCCGCCGCGCGGGGACGCCGACGACUUGGGCGACCUCGGCGAGUGCUGCUCGCCGCUGCCGUUGUUGCCGUGCAUGCUGGCGCCCAGCCGCGCGCGAUCUCUGCCUGCCGCCGGUGCAACGUGCAAGUGCAAGGCCACCACCACCAGCAGCUAGCGAUCGGCCGUCGGCGUCAGCGGAUCGACCGCGCGGGAUCGAUCUGUGGGGUCGACGCGACGGACGGACGGACGGACGGUACAGCGCUUGCCCGCGCGCCCUGGACGAUGGAAGCUAUCUACUAGCUUGCAAUCGAGGAACUGGUCGUAGGGACGGGAGGCGGGACAGGCGGACGGCCAAUGGCAACAAGGGGAUUCUUUGGAUGGGCCGAUGGGGGCUGGUCACUAACGUACAUGCAGGCAAUGGCAACAAAAGAGAUUGGGAUGAUAGAUCGGACGAAGACGCCGACGCCGCCGCCGCCGCCGAUGCAGGCGGAAGCGAGAAGACCGGCCGCGCGCGCGUAUAUAAACACACGACACGGCGGAAACUGUUGCCCGCCUGCUGUACGUUGACCAGGUAGCUGGGAGCUAGCGACCGAUCGAUCGCGAGGACCCGUUAAACAAGCUGGAGGGAGGAAGGAAAAGCUGAGGCAGAGAUCGAGAGAUAGAUCCAAGAGACCACUUCAACGGAUGAACAGAUAGCCCGGACACCCCCCACCAACUGAGACAGACGAUGCAGAUCGAGCGAGCCAGGGAGGGAGAGGACGACGACGAUAGGCGUGUGGAGAGGCGAGGCGAGCAGGUUUCUCGGAAAAACGGUUGGCGGUUGCAGGGAUACAGAUGUGGUCGGGGCAAGCAAAGCACGCGAUAUAUAGGGAGGCCCCCCUUGCCUUGUUGUAUGGGAGAGGAGGAAGAAGAUAAAGA
rnacentral:misc_RNA from 1 species